UACGUAGGGUGCGAGCGUUGUCCGGAAUUACUGGGCGUAAAGAGCUCGUAGGUGGUUUGUCGCGUUGUUCGUGAAAACCGGGGGCUUAACCCUCGGCGUGCGGGCGAUACGGGCAGACUUGAGUACUGCAGGGGAGACUGGAAUUCCUGGUGUAGCGGUGGAAUGCGCAGAUAUCAGGAGGAACACCGGUGGCGAAGGCGGGUCUCUGGGCCAUAACUGACGCUGAGAAGCGAAAGCAUGGGGAGCGAACAGG
rnacentral:rRNA from 1 species